rnacentral:rRNA from 1 species
GAUGAACGCUGGCGGCGUGCCUAAUACAUGCAAGUCGAGCGAACGGACGAGAAGCUUGCUUCUCUGCUGUUAGCGGCGGACGGGUGAGUAACACGUGGAUAACCUACCUAUAAGACUGGGAUAACUUCGGGAAACCGCAGCUAAUACCGGAUAAUAUUUUGAACCGCAUGGUUCAAAAGUGAAAGACGGUCUUGCUGUCACUUAUAGAUGGAUCCGCGCUGGAUUAGCUAGUUGGUAAGGUAACGGCUUACCAAGGCGACGAUGCAUAGCCGACCUGAGAGGGUGAUCAGCCACACUGGAACUGAGACACGGUCCAGACUCCUACGGGAGGCAGCAGUAGGGAAUCUUCCGCAAUGGGCGAAAGCCUGACGGAGCAACGCCGCGUGAGUGAUGAAGGUCUUCGGAUCGUAAAACUCUGUUAUUAGGGAAGAACAGAUGUGUAAGUAACUGUGCACAUCUUGACGGUACCUAAUCAGAAAGCCACGGCUAACUACGUG